UACGGAGGGUGCAAGCGUUAUCCGGAUUCACUGGGUUUAAAGGGUGCGUAGGCGGGUAAGUAAGUCCGUGGUGAAAUCUCUGAGCUUAACUCAGAAACUGCCGUGGAUACUAUUUGCCUUGAAUAUUGUGGAGGUGAGCGGAAUAUGUCAUGUAGCGGUGAAAUGCUUAGAUAUGACAUAGAACACCAAUUGCGAAGGCAGCCCGCUACACGGUUAUUGACACUGAGGCACGAAAGCGUGGGGAGCAAACGGG
rnacentral:rRNA from 1 species